UCUCAGCUAGAUCGGAUGCCUUGACACACC
rnacentral:piRNA from 1 species